rnacentral:rRNA from 1 species
CGAUGAGUGCUAAGUGUUGGAGGGUUUCCGCCCUUCAGUGCUGCAGCUAACGCAUUAAGCACUCCGCCUGGGGAGUACGACCGCAAGGUUGAAACUCAAAGGAAUUGACGGGGGCCCGCACAAGCGGUGGAGCAUGUGGUUUAAUUCGAAGCAACGCGAAGAACCUUACCAGGUCUUGACAUCCUUUGACCACUCUAGAGAUAGAGCUUUCCCUUCGGGGACAAAGUGACAGGUGGUGCAUGGUUGUCGUCAGCUCGUGUCGUGAGAUGUUGGGUUAAGUCCCGCAACGAGCGCAACCCUUAUUAUUAGUUGCCAGCAUUCAGUUGGGCACUCUAGUGAGACUGCCGGUGAUAAACCGGAGGAAGGUGGGGAUGACGUCAAAUCAUCAUGCCCCUUAUGACCUGGGCUACACACGUGCUACAAUGGAUGGUACAACGAGUCGCAAAACCGCGAGGUUAAGCUAAUCUCUUAAAGCCAUUCUCAGUUCGGAUUGUAGGCUGCAAUUCGCCUACAUGAAGCCGGAAUCGCUAGUAAUCGCGGAUCAGAACGCCGCGGUGAAUACGUUCCCGGGCCUUGUACACACCGCCCGUCACACCACGAGAGUUUGUAACACCCAAAGUCGG